AAAGAGUUGAGCUCAGCUGGAGCCCCCCACACUGCCAAUGUCCCUUUGGGAGUUAGAUGACUUCACAUGUGUUAGUGUCUCUGUGCCAGCUAUGUCCAGGUUCCCUGGGGUCUCUGCGAGGUAAUAUGCAGCUCCAAGUUGCUGUGGGAGGAGAAAGAAGCUCCCACAUGCCAGGAGAUAAAUGACUGGGUGCCUUUUUUAGUAGGGAGGAAUGUGACUGAAAGCUUUAUGUCUAUGCUGCUCUCUCACUGCAUCAGCAAACCUGCCCUGGUCCUAGGGAUGCCCAAAGUCAACACCCCUCAGCUGAACCAGACACACACUAAGCAGCUUCCCAAAGUGCUGAUCUGCCAGAAGCUCCAGAAAGAGCCAGCUAUUCUCAUCACUUUCCAUGAGUAUUUGAAAAAGAAAAAUCAAGAGUUUAUCUUGAUCUCUUAAUCCACCAGGUUUCUUUUCUCUUUGCUUUCUCUACCUCUGCAAGCCUGGUAAUUAUAAUUUACAGCACCUGCUCACUUUGAAAUACCUUGGACUCCUUUUGCCUGGCAGAGGAACAGACACAGUGCCCAUCUGCUUUAGGUAAGUGCUCACAAACCACAAAGUCGUUAAUUAGACUGACACACGACUCUUCCAGAAUACACAUGGUAUGUUGUUACUGCACCUAUAAACCACCGGUAACCAGAUACCCUGCCAGGGGAUCACAAUUGGAUCAGAGCAUGACGUAAGGUCUUGGCAUCCCUUGCAGGGCUCAGAGCAUUGCCAUCAGGUGUGCGUGUUCUUUCUAAUCCUCCCCACUGGGCUUCCCAACAUGCUUCCCAGAUAAAGCAAGCCUCCUGAACACUCAGUAGGAGGCUCGGUCUCCAAAACUUUGUAUUGUCUUAUUUUGAAAUCCAAAUUCCUCUUUGUAUUCAUCCAGUCAUCCCUGCCAAGGUCUCCUUCCUGACAGCUCAGGCUCCAGGCGGUGAUGCCUCCACAUCCUGUAGCUGACAGGGAGCAGGGCAGGCCUGAUUUGGGCCCCACAGGCAUGGCUGCAGCUUCAGAGGGCCUGUGGGGAGGGGUGUUUGUGAGGGCAGGUGUGUCUGAUGGGGAUGGGAGCACUUGGGUGGGUUUGACACUUGCUUCCUCAGACUGGCUGGCAUCCACGUGGCAGAGUGAAUCACGAACACCUCUGGUCAGGCAAUGCUGAGCCUCCGCAGUGGGUGCCUCCUUCUGGAGGAGGAGUGGCCCAGACCACAUGCAGCCCCUGAUGAAUGGUGAUGCACACAGCUGCUUGUCCUAAAAGGAUUACAUCUGUCCUCGUUCACCUUUCCUUGAGGGACUCAGUGCCCUAUCCCCGCAGCACAACUCAACAGUGCAAACAGACCUGUGUGCCCGAGAAGUUGUGUUGGUCCUUGCAUGGGAGCUGUCAACCUGGAUGAGCAUCCCUAUCCCACUGGGCUGCACAGAGCACGUGUGGCAUCCAUCACAAGGCUUACAGUAUCCUGUCAGAAGCGUGGAAGGAGAACCAGGGCUGAUGAUCAUGGACCUGGCAGGGCAGAGCUUGUGCAGGAGAUGCAGGAGGAGAGCAUGGGCAGAGGGUACCACGUCAAACACCCCCAGCCCUGCUCUGUGCCCCACCUUGCCACCCCCAGCUCAGUGUGCCUCUGACACGUGGUGAGCAGCCUGACAGGGGACUCAGCCUUCCCAAGUCCACUUCUCUCCUGAUUUUCCAUCAAACCAGGAUGGUUAGGUACAAAUUCAAUGCCUUGGCUGUAUCAAAAGUGAAGAGACAAGGACGUUCCUCCCUGUUCCUCUCUUUUAAUACUUUACAUCCCGGCAUUUCUCUGAUCUUUCCUGCCUCAUGGGCUUUUCAGAUUCCCUCAACAGAUACCUCCUUCAAGAUGUGUGGUUUGUUGUUGGAGAUUAAAGUGAAGAGAGAAGCACAUGACUGCAGGAGUGGUUAUACUGGUCCUAAGGGAGCAAGGAUCUGAUCCGGACGGGGAGCAGCGUGACGAGCAGCUCGUGCCACCACAAAAUGCUGUGCUCUGCA